rnacentral:rRNA from 1 species
CCUACGGGUGGCUGCAGUGGGGAAUAUUGCACAAUGGGCGCAAGCCUGAUGCAGCCAUGCCGCGUGUGUGAAGAAGGCCUUCGGGUUGUAAAGCACUUUCAGCGGGGAGGAAGGCGUUAAGGUUAAUAACCUUGUCGAUUGACGUUACCCGCAGAAGAAGCACCGGCUAACUCCGUGCCAGCAGCCGCGGUAAUACGGAGGGUGCAAGCGUUAAUCGGAAUUACUGGGCGUAAAGCGCACGCAGGCGGUCUGUCAAGUCGGAUGUGAAAUCCCCGGGCUCAACCUGGGAACUGCAUUCGAAACUGGCAGGCUAGAGUCUUGUAGAGGGGGGUAGAAUUCCAGGUGUAGCGGUGAAAUGCGUAGAGAGCUGGAGGAAUACCGGUGGCGAAGGCGGCCCCCUGGACAAAGACUGACGCUCAGGUGCGAAAGCGUGGGGAGCAAACAGGAUUAGAUACCCGGGUAGUC